rnacentral:rRNA from 1 species
CUACGGGAUGCACCAGUGGGGAAUAUUGCACAAUGGGCGCAAGCCUGAUGCAGCCAUGCCGCGUGUAUGAAGAAGGCCUUCGGGUUGUAAAGUACUUUCAGCGGGGAGGAAGGGAGUAAAGUUAAUACCUUUGCUCAUUGACGUUACCCGCAGAAGAAGCACCGGCUAACUCCGUGCCAGCAGCCGCGGUAAUACGGAGGGUGCAAGCGGUAAUCGGAAUUACUGGGCGUAAAGCGCACGCAGGCGGUUUGUUAAGUCAGAUGUGAAAUCCCCGGGCUCAACCUGGGAACUGCAUCUGAUACUGGCAAGCUUGAGUCUCGUAGAGGGGGGUAGAAUUCCAGGUGUAGCGGUGACAUGCGUAGAGAUCUGGAGGAAUACCGGUGGCGAAGGCGGCCCCCUGGACGAAGACUGACGCUCAGGUGCGAAAGCGUGGGGAGCAAACAGGAUUAGAUACCCCUGUAGUC